rnacentral:rRNA from 2 species
UUAAAUUGAAGAGUUUGAUCAUGGCUCAGAUUGAACGCUGGCGGCAGGCCUAACACAUGCAAGUCGAACGGUAGCAGGAAGCAGCUUGCUGCUU